AUCUAGUCUUUAUCUCGACGAAGCCACUUGAACUAAAAUGAGCCGAACUUUUUUCCUACUUUUCCUUCUUGCCUCUUGCAUGGCAUUUACAGCUGAAGCCACAUGGUAUCCAUUCCGUUGUCCCAAGGGUCACUACCAAGUUGGCUACUGUCAUAUUUGGACCGGCUGUAGAAUCGGGUCUUGUUUCACUAAUUUCGGUAGUAAAUAUGGAGUCUGUUGCAAGAGGAUAUGGUAUUAAUGAACAAGAAGAAAAAAAGUCAGAAUAUUCUACCUGAAACUAAAUAAAUAAUAUUGGU
rnacentral:sRNA from 1 species